UGGGGAAUAUUGGACAAUGGGCGCAAGCCUGAUCCAGCAAUGCCGCGUGUGUGAAGAAGGCCUUCGGGUUGUAAAGCACUUUUUAUCAGGAGCGAAAUCGCUGUCGGCUAAUACCCGGCGGAACUGACGGUACCUGAGGAAUAAGCACCGGCUAACUUCGUGCCAGCAGCCGCGGUAAUACGAAGGUGCAAGCGUAAUCGGAAUUACUGGCGUAAAGCGUGCGUAGGCGGUUUCUUAAGUCUGCUGUGAAAUCCCCGGGACUCAACCUGGGGAAUGGCAGUGGAUACUGGGAGGCUAGAGUGUGUCAGAGGGUGGUGGGAAUUCCCGGUGUAGCGGUGAAAUGCGUAGAGAUCGGGAGGAACAUCAGUGGCGAAGGCGGCCACCUGGGACAACACUGACGCUGAGGCACGAAAGCGUGGGGAGCAAACAGGAUUAGAUACCCUGGUAGUCCACGCCCUAAACGAUGCGAACUGGAUGUUGGUCUCAACUCGGAGAUCAGUGUCGAAGCUAACGCGUUAAGUU
rnacentral:rRNA from 1 species